UUAAUUUGNCUCAACACGGGGAAACUUACCAGGUCCGAACAUAAAUGAGUAAGACAGAUUAAUAGCUCUUUCUCGAAUCUAUGGGUGGUGGUGCAUGGCCGUUCUUAGUUCGUGGAGUGAUUUGUCUGGUUAAUUCCGAUAACGAACGAGACUCAAAUUUCUUAACUAGAUGCCGGCAGGUUAUGGUGUAGAAACUUUGCAUACAUUUUUGCCUCUGUUAACCAUGCUCCUAACGGGGAAUGGUCUUAAUACGUAAGAAUUGUUUGUGAGUGGAGUCAUACCUGGUGGUUUGUCUGAAUAAGACACUUGCUUCUUAAAUAGACAAAAUUGCGUCUAGCAAUAUGAGAUUGAGCAAUAACAGUCUGUGAUGCCCUUAGAUGUCCUGGGCUGCACGCGCGCUACAAUGAAGGUAUCAACGUGUCCUCCUAGUCUAAAAAGACCGGGUAAACCGCUGAACCACCUUCGUGGUUGGGAUUGUGGACUGAAACUGUUCACAUAAACCUGGAAUUCCCAGUAAGUGCGGGUCAUAAGCUCGCAUUGAUUACGUCCCUGCCCUUUGUACACACCGCCCGUCGCUACUACCGAUUGAAUAUGUUAGUGAGGUCCUCAGAGGU
rnacentral:rRNA from 1 species